rnacentral:sRNA from 12 species
UAUGAGUAAGCGUGGGAGAUGUAGAGGCAGCCUGUUUUAGGUAGCAGCCCGCAUGGGUGGGAUCCUCGGUUCCUAGGACUCACAUUUGA